UGCAGACUUCAUACGCCCAGGGCACACGCCCAUACUUGAGGCCGUGUCAUCCACAUGGCUGAGACACACGCCCGUGUCUCUGCCAGUGUGCUCAAUACUGAGCAGUCUAUUUUGAAAAAAUUAAGGUGCGGGGGACACACGGCCAGAAUACACCUCUAUGGGGCAAGCCAUGUGUCACACAAGGCCUAGACACAUCCCCAUUUGUCUACCCAUAUGGACAAAAAUAAGGCUAUUUUCUAAGCCAUAUUAUCACCCUUCCAUGCA
rnacentral:lncRNA from 1 species